UCUUCAUUACACACACUCUCUCACCGGUCAGAGUGACGAUAGAGUAUGUGAUAUGAAGAGA
rnacentral:pre_miRNA from 1 species